GGAAUGGGAAAAGUAACUUAAAAUUUGAAAGCAAUGCUGAUAUCUCAUGUUUCUUCUGUUGAUGAUGAUCAACAGUCACUUUCUUCACAAUCUCAUUCUUUGAUGAUCUUACACCUACUAUAAAUAGCCGACGUUGUUCUAGCUCAAGAGUUUAUUUUCUUCUCAUUGUAAGAGAUGACUGUGUGAGACCUCAAGAAGAAGAAGAAGAAGAAGAAAGCAAUAUCCUUUCCAACCAUGGAUCAUCAAUUUCUACGAAAAACGGUCUCCGACGUGACAAACGAAAUGAACAAAAUAGGUAAAGAUUUGGAGACAAUUGUUGAAUUGGAGGAAGCAACAAUUAUCUUGCAAGAAGAAUGUGAGUGUUGUGGGCUCAAAGAAGACUACACAAAAGAAUACGUUUCACGGAUCCGGACCUCGUUUUCGGGUAAAUGGGUUUGCGGGUUAUGCACCGAAGCAGUGAAAGAGAGAUUACACCGUUGCCCCAUAGGCAUCGAAGAUGCCAUAAUCAAUCAUAAAAUUUUUGUGCAAGAUUUCAACACCACAACUAGGGUUAAUCCCAAGUUGUCAUUGGCAUGGAUGAUGAGGGAUAUUGCCAAGAGAAAUUUAGAGAAAAGAAAUGGUUUAUCCGGCGGCGGCGGCGGCAUAAAGAUAACUCGGGCGUCUAGCUGUGCUGCUAGAAUUGAUUUUAGUUAACACGAAACACGAUCGACGCUACUAAAAAAAAAUUCCACUAGUGACAUGAGACUUGGUAGCUAUUAUGUGUGUCAUAAAAAUUAAUGACAUUCGAUGAUGUAGCUAAUCACUAAUAGUUAUAUUUUCAAACGCCACUAAUUUUUGUGACACGAAUAUUAGCUACCAAGUCUCAUGUCACUACUAGAAUUUUUUUUUUUGUAGUGCGAGUACUAGAUUAUAGAAAUAAACUUGUAAUGUUUAUUAAUUACUCCUAUAUAUAUAGAGAGAGAGUGAUGGAUUGAUAUAGGGUUGGAUUUUGGUGAAAAUCGACCUUAUUCUAUUAAGUGUGAUCCAUAAUAUUAUUGUAAUGGAGUAGAUAGAAUGUAUUAUUGUAUUCAUAAAUAUUGUUAAAAAAAUAGUACUAUUGUAUAUGUAAAUCUUUUAAAAUUUGGAAUA